rnacentral:rRNA from 1 species
GAUGAACGCUGGCGGCGUGCCUAAUACAUGCAAGUCGAACGGAGAGCAUUAGCUUCGGUUGGUGCUCUUAGUGGCGAACGGGUGAGUAACGCGUUGGUGACCUGCCCCGAAGAGAGGGAUACCAGCCCGAAAGGGCUGCUAAUACCCCAUGAUAUCUAUCGAACUAGAGUAGAUAGAUGAAAGGAGCAAUCCGCUUCGGGAGGGGCCUGCGUCCCAUCAGCUAGUUGGUAGGGUAAAAGCCUACCAAGGCGAAGACGGGUAGGGGACCUGAGAGGGUGAUCCCCCACAAUGGAACUGAAACACGGUCCAUACACCUACGGGUGGCAG